rnacentral:lncRNA from 1 species
CUCCCACGGCCGGGGCCCUCUGGCCUCUGCCUGCCAGGACCAGAUGGCUCAGCUGAAUGAAUGGUCACCAGGGCAGAGAUGAAGCGGCCUCAGGAGCCCCAGCAGACGCCAGAGCGGCCUGGUGGCUUCGCAGACAGAGACCUCAGUGAGAGAGCGGGGAGCUCACGCUGCCAUCAGCCUCCCUGCAGCGUAGCCCAGCACCUUGCUGUCCUGCCGCAUCAGGCUCCCCAAAGCCUAGAACACCGGCUUUUGUGCACGCCACAGAUUCUGGAAUCUUUAAACAGCCUUUGGAGCCUCGGAACAAUCUCCAGGACUGACAAAUUGCCUCCAAAACCUUCAAACGCCUUUGGAAUCUUUGAACGGCCCUGGAGACGUGAAUCCAAAGUGAGAGCCAAAGAGGCUGGGGGCCAAGGCCAGCCUCAGCUAGCCCGUCCUCCUGGGACAGGACGCAGCCCUG